AGCUCACAGCGCGGCCCACCCAGCAUCCGGGGGCGCUGUGAGGGGCGCUCGCCCAGCAGCGGAAAGGCCAUUCGCGUGGCGCGGGAGCGCGGGCCCGGCCGCCUGGGCGUGUCCCUUUCGCGGAACUGAGCUCACUGGCUCCUCUCUUCCAGACGGAGCGACGGGGCCGGCCGCAGCCUCAGCCACGCGUCCCUCGGUGGCGGGCAGGCUCCUCUUGGCCUGCAGCCUUACUUUCAUGCCCUUCUUCACAGUCUCCUGGGAGAUUAAGAUGAGUGAUCUAGAGGAGGAAGAUGUUGAUGAAUUCAGCUCCAGUGGUUUUAAGUGCCCAACAUGCUUUGCAGUGCAAGGAAGGAAAUGCGAUACAGAACUCAAAUGGUGUGCAGCAGAUAAAAUAAAGUGUAUUGAAUUCUCUGGCAUCAUAAACACAGGUAUUCGUGACGUAGCCAUUGAAAUGAAGAGAUGCACACAAGCAGACCUAUGCAAAGAGACGAUAACUUCUUAGAUGGGUUUUCCAAUUGCUAACAAGAGUAGAAAUUGCAAAUCAGCCAUCAGAAAUGGGGCCAGAAUCAGACCCCCAUCUCCCAUCUUCUUUGUUCUUUUCCUGGGGAGGGUACUUCAUGGAGCUCUGGCAAGAGCCUAGCC
rnacentral:lncRNA from 1 species